AAAGAAGUUAGAUUUAUGAUGUGGAACA
rnacentral:piRNA from 1 species